AGGAUUAUAGUUUAUUAAAACAUUUGAUUUGCAUUCAAAUAUUAUUGAAUUUUCAAUUUAUCUUA
rnacentral:tRNA from 1 species